AAAUGCACUCUGGCAUUCACACAGGCACACACUCUGAUGGUUCCCACUUGAAAUUGCUCAUCAAGUGCAAAUAGCUCCCAGCCUGGAUGGCUGAGCUGCUCUCCAGCCUCCUCUCUCUGGAGUAAGAAGAUUUCAGCUUGUGACCUGCCCUCGGGACUUGUGGGUGUACAAAGCCUGUGACCCAGGAAACAAAGUCAACGGCUCACUUUGUCCCCACCCCACCCUACCCCGUCUCCCUCCUACUAAAUGCUGAAUCUCACGAGAGAAGAAAACCAGCCACAUAAAGGAUUUGAAAGCUCAACUUGCUUUCCCACUCUGUUAUCCCUGGAGUUGGCUUGGAUUCACCCUGAAGCCUUCCCCCUCCCGGGGAAAGUUGCUUCACGUUGCAGCUCAGCAGGUUUGUCCAGCUACAUAGGCUCCAGAAAACAAGAAGCAAGACUGGAAAGCUGGGGAUGAUUGUACGCCCUCGCCUGAAUCUUACGUGGUUCCUCCUUCUUCCACCUGGCCAGUGCAGAGCCGUGGGUGCCACGUGGCCACUUCUGGAUUGGGUUCCCCUUGGCCUGCCACCCUGUCCUUCUGCUUUCCCACUUUGCCAGCCAGAGUCAAUUUGAGGACGCCAAGUUCUCCUCUCCAUACAGAGCUCCUGGUCUCCUUGUAACUUGUAACUCCUGGGCACAGUUACAAGUGCUGAAUUCUUGCGAGGAUGAACUCAAGAUACAAAAUAUGCUUGGCAACUCACCCCUGAGUGGCCACAGGCACACGCAGGAGUCGAACCCACCCACCUCUGCUGACAGUCAUGGGUCAAGCUCAAAGUCCUGGCUGCUUCUCUGCUCAAGAUCUGUGCCCGCAGAGAGAGCCUGCUCCAGCCUCUUUGCUACAGCCUUGAGUCUUCUGCUGUAAGUUUUCAUUCUUUACCUUUUUUUUUUUUAAUGAAAAACUUAUGGUUAAUUAUUGUAUUGCAUUUGGGUUUGUGUGUGCAUGCAUAUGAAUGUGUAUCAUGUUCUCCAGGGGUUUCCUGGAAAACCCUUUAAAGCCUCUGUCUAUCUCAGACAGGACAAGAGGAAGAGGAGGGCUCGGACGCUGUGGCACAGAGGGCUGGUUUCCUCCCAAUGUACAUUUCCCUUGCUUCCAUGUCAUACAAGUGUUUAUCUGUGCUCGUGGCUGCCCUGAAUAAGAACUGUAUUUCCAGCUUUGUGGAAGCCAGGUGUGGUCAUGUGACUAAGUUGUAGCCAAUAGCCUGUGGGGAGUAGUGAGGUGUGCAACAACUGGCCAGAGCUGUUAAAGGGAAACGCUGUGUUCUUCCUUCUGUGUUCCCCCUUCCUUGGCUGGAAUUGCCUGUGGCAGUGCUCUACUUUUCCUUUUUCUUUUCCUUUUGGUUUUUGUCUCACUCUGUUGCCCA
rnacentral:lncRNA from 1 species